UUGACGCUUGGACAUUCAAUCCAUAGCCGGACUAAAUCAAUCUACAAAGACUUCGUUAACACGCUAAACAUUUUCUAUCAUGGCGUUCUGAUUGUUUUUCCAUCAAACUUGUCACGAAGUAACAUUUCAAAUUAGGAAAAGUUUUACAGAGAUUUACGAAAGAACCCCAGCGUAAUUUCCAUUCUCAAGCUGAGACGUGCCCCCGUCUUUUUGCACACGUCGGGAAAACGAACACCACUAGCUCUCUGAGGACUUUGAGCAUUUUUUUCCUGUUGUUGUUAUUGUUGAGGUUAAUAAAUCAACCAGUUCUUUUAGGACUGUCACGAGAAGUUUUGAACAUGAGGACACCGCUCUUGAUCCUGCUUAUAAGUUUAGCGUUCACUGUGGGAACCGCCGAGAACCAUUUACUGGAACAGUACGGGAACGAUGAGGACCUACAGCAUCAACUUCAAAACGAGGCUUACUACAAAAGAGGCUUCUGGGAUAAAAGGGGAUUCUGGGAUAAACGGAUGUCCCAUAAAGACUUUUCUCACGGAUCAGACGAUUCAUCCUGGAAUAAUUUGAUUCUUUUAUUGAAGGAUUAUAUAAGAUAUAAACACGAGUCCAACAAGAAAGAGCAAGUUUUUUCUAAUGGAUUACAGAAUUCUCAUUAAGGAUUGUUUUGAGAUAAAAGAAACUUACUUGACUGUCUCAGCUAUAAUUUUCUAUGUCAAUCGAUACUAUUGCUAAGUAUUAUUAUUAUUUUGAUUAAUAAACAGUAUAAAAGAGUUUAAUAAAUGAUUUUUU